CGCGCGAGCAUGCCCCUGGCAUACGCCUGUAUGACACAAGCAGCCUUCUUCUGCUCUGCUACCUUCUGGCGCGUUAGGUAGCCGCGGCACACGGCCUGCAGCCUGAUGACACCAGCCCGGGUCCCUUCGUACUGCCUGGCGAGGUGCCGGCUGCGGUACAGAGCCUGCAGGCGCCCGAAGCCCAGCAUUGCCUGUGGGGAGGUGAGGGGAAAAGCAUGAGUCCAAACCUUAAGACUGAGGCUCAGCUGAGUCUAGUCUAGGUGAUUUUCUUAAGUGUGGGGGUAACAUUCGAACCAUCCAGGAGGCGAUGACGACAGCUCAAGAUUAUGGCAAGGGAAGGAAGAGAGUGGCAAUGAAGCCAAGUGAACAGAGAGGUCAGUGCUGCCCUCCAGUGCUCAAACAGUUAUGCUUUUGACAAACAGUUCCUGGGAGUAUCUUACAGCAUCUCUGAUCCGACCUAGGGCUAGCAAGCAUCUCUUUGAAGUAGCUGUGGAUGUUUACCUGUCCAUGGCUAGAUGUUCUGGACAGCAGAAAGCCACAAUGGGAUAUAGGCUGAAGAAGAAAAGACAGGAUCAGAAAACAAUGCCAGGAGAGU